rnacentral:rRNA from 1 species
GAUGAACGCUGGCGGCGUGCCUAAUACAUGCCAGUCGAGCGAACAGACGCGGCGCUUGCUCCUCUGACGUUAGCGGCGGACGGGUGAGUAACACGUGGAUAACCUACCUAUAAGACUUGGAUAACUUCGGGAAACCGGAGCUAAUACCGGAUAACAUAUUGAACCGCAUGGUUCAAUAGUGAAAGCCGGUUUUGCUGUCACUUAUAGAUGUAUCCGCGCUGCAUUGGCUAGUUGGUAAGGUAACGGCUUACCAAGGCCACGAUGCGUAGCCGACCUGAGAGGGGGUACGGCCACGCUGGAACUGGACGACGGUCCAGACUCCUAGGGGAGGCAGCAGUAGGGAAUCGUCCGCAAUGGGCGAAAGCCUGACGGAGCAGCGCCGCGUGAGUGAUGAAGGUCUUCGGAUCGUAAAACUCUGUUAUUAGGGAAGAACAAAUGUGUAAGUAACGAUGCACGUCUUGACGGUACCUAAUCAGAAAGCCACGGCUAACUACGUG